CCCUUAGAUGUUCUGGGCCGCACGCGCGCUACACUGACGGAGGCAGCGAGCAUGUCCUUCGCCGAGAGGUGUGGGGAAUCUUGUGAGUCUCCGUCGUGCUGGGGAUAGAUGGUUGCAAUUGUCGAUCUUGAACGAGGAAUUCCUAGUAAGCGCAAGUCAUCAACUUGCGUUGAUUACGUCCCUGCCCUUUGUACACACCGCCCGUCGCUACUACCGAUUGAAUGGUUUAGUGAGGCCUUCGGAUCCGCGACUCGUUUUGUGGAGAAGUUGGACAAACCCAGUCAUUUAGAGGAAGUAAAAGUCGUAACA
rnacentral:rRNA from 1 species